rnacentral:misc_RNA from 1 species
GUCUAUCUUAAGCCCUAACCUUGAUGUUGGUUUUAUACUUAGUAAUUAAAACUAUGGCCAGUAAGCAUACAAGGUGUCUGGUUUGGCGAUUAAAAAGUAGAUUGUUUUAAUGAUUUAAGCCAUAUAACUUUAUCAGAGUACAGAAAAAUGUUCACCUGAAUAUUUGAUAAUUCAAAGCAUAUGCAAUUCUUAGUAAUGUUAAAAAGAAACAUCAUGCAAAUUUGAGAUUGAAGGAUAAACUUGGGCAAAUUUGCAACUCUUCUUAUU